AUGGGGGAAGCCGCCGGCGACCGUGUCCUCAGCCGCCUCCACAGCGUCAGGGAGCGCAUCGGCGACUCCCUCUCCGCGCACCCCAACGAGCUCGUCGCCGUCUUCACCAGGUUGGUCAACCUUGGAAAUGGAAUGCUGCAGUCCCACCAGAUCAUCGCUGAGUACAACACCGCGAUCCCUGAGGCAGAGCGCGAGAAGCUCAAGGAUGGCGCCUUUGAGGAUGUGCUCAGGGCAGCGCAGGAGGCGAUCGUCAUCUCGCCGUGGGUCGCGCUUGCCAUCCGUCCAAGGCCUGGUGUCUGGGAGUAUGUGAGGGUCAAUGUGAGUGAGCUCGCUGUCGAGGAGUUGAGCGUCCCUGAGUACCUGCAGUUCAAGGAACAGCUUGUUGAAGGAAGCAACAAGGACUUUGUGCUUGAGCUUGACUUUGAGCCAUUCAAUGCCUCCUUCCCUCGCCCUUCCCUGUCCAAGUCCAUCGGCAACGGCGUGCAGUUCCUCAACAGGCACCUGUCAUCGAAGCUCUUCCAUGACAAGGAGAGCAUGUACCCCUUGCUCAACUUCCUCCGCGCACACAACUACAAGGGCAUGACUAUGAUGCUGAACGACAGAAUCCGCAGCCUCAGUGCUCUCCAGGGAGCUCUGAGGAAGGCCGAGGAGCAUUUGUCUGGUCUCCCAGCAGACACUCCAUACUCGGACUUCCACCACAGGUUCCAAGAACUUGGCCUGGAGAAGGGUUGGGGUGACUGCGCCAAGCGUGCGCAGGAGACCCUUCACCUGCUCCUCGACCUUCUCGAGGCUCCCGACCCGUCCACGCUCGAGAAGUUCCUUGGCACAAUCCCAAUGGUGUUCAAUGUUGUCAUCCUGUCGCCGCACGGUUACUUUGCCCAAGCCAAUGUCUUGGGGUACCCUGACACCGGAGGCCAGGUUGUCUACAUUCUGGAUCAAGUCCGUGCUAUGGAGAACGAGAUGCUGCUGAGGAUCAAGCAGCAAGGCCUCGACAUCACACCACGGAUCCUUAUUGUCACCAGGCUUCUCCCUGAUGCAACCGGCACGACCUGCGGUCAGCGUCUUGAGAAGGUCCUCGGUACAGAGCACACCCACAUCCUCCGUGUGCCAUUCAGAACUGAAAGUGGAAUUGUUCGCAAGUGGAUCUCUCGUUUUGAAGUCUGGCCGUACCUGGAGACUUUCACUGAAGAUGUGGCUCACGAGAUUUCCGGAGAGCUCCAGGCCAAUCCUGACCUGAUCAUCGGAAACUACAGCGACGGAAACCUUGUUGCGUGCCUGCUUGCACACAAGAUGGGAGUUACUCAUUGUACCAUUGCACACGCGCUUGAGAAAACCAAGUACCCCAACUCUGACCUCUACUGGAAGAAGUUUGAGGACCACUACCACUUCUCAUGCCAGUUCACUACCGAUCUGAUUGCGAUGAACCAUGCUGACUUCAUCAUCACAAGCACCUUCCAAGAGAUUGCUGGAAACAAGGACACCGUUGGUCAGUACGAGUCUCACAUGGCAUUCACAAUGCCUGGGAUGUACCGUGUUGUCCAUGGUAUCGAUGUUUUUGACCCCAAGUUUAACAUAGUCUCACCUGGUGCGGACAUGUCCAUCUACUUCCCAUACUCCGAGUCACAGAGGAGGCUCACCUCCCUCCACCCAGAGAUCGAGGAGCUGCUCUACAGCGAUGUUGACAACAAUGAACACAAGUAUGUGCUCAAGGACAGGAACAAGCCAAUCAUCUUCUCGAUGGCUCGUUUGGACCGUGUCAAGAACUUGACUGGUCUGGUUGAGCUGUAUGGCAAGAACCCUCGCCUGCAGGAACUUGUUAACCUUGUGGUUGUCUGUGGUGACCAUGGCAAUCCAUCAAAGGACAAGGAGGAGCAGGCUGAGUUCAAGAAGAUGUUUGACCUUAUUGAGCAGUACAACCUGAAUGGCCAUGUCCGCUGGAUCUCAGCCCAGAUGAACCGUGUCCGUAAUGCUGAGCUCUACCGUUACAUCUGUGACACCAAGGGUGCCUUUGUGCAGCCUGCUUUCUAUGAGGCUUUUGGGCUUACUGUCAUCGAGGCCAUGACCUGCGGUCUUCCUACCUUUGCAACUGCAUAUGGUGGUCCUGCUGAGAUCAUCGUGAAUGGUGUGUCCGGCUACCACAUUGAUCCCUACCAGGGUGACAAGGCCUCCACUCUGCUUGUUGAGUUCUUUGAGAAGUGCCAGGUUGACCCCAGCCACUGGACCAAGAUUUCACAGGGCGGGCUUCAGCGUAUUGAGGAGAAAUACACCUGGAAGCUUUACUCUGAGAGGCUCAUGACCCUCACUGGGGUGUAUGGGUUCUGGAAGUACGUCUCCAACCUUGAGAGGCGCGAGACCCGCCGCUACCUUGAGAUGCUGUACGCCCUCAAGUACCGCACCAUGGCCAGCACUGUUCCGCUAGCUGUUGAGGGAGAAUCAGCAAGCAAGUGA
rnacentral:rRNA from 1 species